ensembl:lncRNA
CUGCUAUAUCCAUUUUGGUAAGCCCUGAACAUCUCUACCUUGCUGACUAUGCCGGACAAAUGCUAAAAUCUUUUGUAAACCAUUUUGGCGAGCUGUAUGGGACAGACCAGAUUGUGUACAAUGGUCCACCUGGCAGACGAGGUGACGAGGCAUGGCUGUCUGUCUUUUUCAGCAACAACACCCCAACAGAUUCUGCCAAAAAAAUGCAACAGUACUCUACGGUUAAGCUGAAGUUCUACUUGACCAUUAUGACCUGUACUUUUUCCUUCCUUAUACUUCUUCCCACCUUGGGGCACCAUUCAGGUUAACUUUCAGCCCAUCUUACUUGCUUAUUUGUAUACAUUGUAGGCCUAUACUUGUGCAUGCUUUAGUCCAUGUUAUUCCUUUUUUGAUGAUGAAUAAAUACCCUUUUUCUUUCUACAUUAAGGAUGCCUUUUAAUCUAAUUGAAUUUCAAGCAAGCGAGGACAUUGCUGUUGUGCCAGUUGACUGGUAUGAUGACGGGAUGGUGUACUGGCCCAGCUUUAAGAGCACUGAACGUGUGAAACGGGCAGCUGCUAACGAGGAGAAGCAUGAGCCAAACUGGCCAAGAUAUGACGUAAAGGUCGUCAGAACUUGUGACAACUACAAAAACGCCAUCAGUCUAAUCAAUAUCAGACCGGCUGCAACACCUCUGAGCUACAGUCUGGGGCAGAGCAGGAGGGUGAGCUGCCAGAGAAACGAGUCAGGAAGCCAAUCUAUCGUUUUGGGGACUCUGACGAGAGUGAAGAGAAGCUAAGUCACAAUUUUCUCUGAGGUCGCCACGACCUUCCAACUCGGCUGGUGUAUCAGUUGGAUCCUCAAGCCCAAACCAAUUACACUGGCAAACUCCACCAUCUCGCCGAGUGCCAGGCAGCAGAGUCACUACUCCUCAACCUGGAGGAAACUGUCUAGGGCCAUUGUUUGGCCCUGUAGCUCGCAGCAUACCAUUGGUUAACAGAUCACAACCAUUUUAAUAGCAAUCUCUCUCCCUUAUCACCUGACCAUGGGGCCGGACCGCAACACCCUUCACCACCUCAACUCCCUGCACCUGCAUUUAACAUGAGGAGAGUUACUCAAGGUGCUGUGAGGAAAAACAGUGACACAGUCAGCCACGGACGCAGAGGUCACCAAGCACGCAAUCAGGUGGUUCAACCUGGCAGCGGAUCGGGCAA